AACGUAGGAGACAAACGUUAUCCGGAGUUACUGGGCGUAAAGGGCGUGUAGGCGGUAUGUUAAGUCUGGCGUGAAAGCUCUCGGCUAAACCGGGAGAGGUCGUUGGAUACUGGCAAACUAGAGGAUGGUAGAGGCGUGUGGAAUUCCGGGUGUAGUGGUGAAAUGCGUAGAGAUCCGGAGGAACACCAGUGGCGAAGGCGACACGCUGGGCCAUACCUGACGCUAAAGCGCGACAGCAUGGGGAGCAAACGGG
rnacentral:rRNA from 1 species